rnacentral:rRNA from 1 species
UGCAGCAGCCAUAUCACCUUGCAACUCAAAACUGGCAACCCACUGAAGCUCAGCUGGUGUGAAUCUGGUCAGUACCUGGAUGGGAGACCUCCUGGGAAAAUCUAAGGUUGCUGCUGGAA